rnacentral:tRNA from 1 species
AGGGAUUUAGCUUAGUGCUCUAAGUGCCUGCCUGAUAAGCAUGAGGUUGUGAGUUCAAUCCCUG